AUUGAACGCUAGCGGGAUGCUUUACACAUGCAAGUCGAACGAGUGGCGGACGGGUGAGUAAUAUAUGGGAACGUGCCCAGUAGCGGGGGAUAACUACUCGAAAGAGUGGCUAAUACCGCAUACUAUUGGCGCGGCCGAUAUCGGAGUAGCUAGUUGGUGGGGUAAAGGCUCACCAAGGCCACGAUCCGUAGCUGGUUGGAGAGGACGACCAGCCACACUGGGACUGAGACACGGCCCAGACUCCUACGGGAGGCAGCAGUGGGGAAUUUUGGACAAUGGGGUAAACCCUGGUGCAGCCAUGCCGCGUGUAUGAGAAGGCCUUCGGGUUGUAAAGUACUUUUGGCAGAGAAGCGGUAUCUGCAGAAUAAGCACCGGCUAACUACGUGCCAGCAGCCGCGGUAAUUC
rnacentral:rRNA from 1 species